rnacentral:lncRNA from 1 species
UGACUAAAGGCUAUCUAGGUGGUCCCCACACAUGUGGACAAAGCCCUCCAAGUACUUCUUGUUCCAAGUCUCUUUCCCGUAGCUUUCUUUUAAGAGCCCAAAUGACUAGAUGCUUUCCACUAGCUUGUGGUCCCCCACCAAUUCAAGGGCCCAAGAAUUGAAGCCCUUAGAAGUCUCCCUAUUCCCAUAAAAGUCCCUCCUUUUUGGUAAUUUUCUGCUUUGUUCCUGAAAUUAAACUCCAAUACCAAAUAUAAGUAAAUAUUAAUAAUUAAAACAAUAUUUGGCAAGAAUAAAAGGGGAAAUUAAUAAUAAAAUUACUAACAAUUAACACCCUA